rnacentral:rRNA from 1 species
UACGUAGGGUGCAGGCGUUAAUCGGAAUUACUGGGCGUAAAGCGUGCGCAGGCGGUUUGUUAAGACAGGUGUGAAAUCCCCGGGCUUAACCUGGGAAUUGCGCUUGUAACUGGCAAGCUAGAGUGUGGCAGAGGGGGAUGGAAUUCCGCGUGUAGCAGUGACAUGCGUAGAUAUGCGGAGGAACACCGAUGGCGAAGGCAAUCCCCUGGGCCUGCACUGACGCUCAUGCACGAAAGCGUGGGGAGCAAACAGG